rnacentral:lncRNA from 1 species
UGGGAUCACACUGUGCAGUCCUGGGGGUUAGGACCUGAACUUUUCUUUUUUGAGAGACAUAAUUCAACCCAUCAUGGAGUCUAUGAUUUUUUUUUAGUUAUAAAUAGAAUAUAUGUUCACUGUAAACAUUAAAUAAUACUGAUGUGUCUACAGUUAACAUCAGUAAAAUUUUCAAAUUAGGUUAAAAGAAAAAUUGGGGAGAUAGGAGGGCACUCUAUAUUUAUAUUCUGUAUUCCUGAGUCAAGAAAAAGGAGCGUGAGAUUUAACAGCACUUGGCUAAAACAAUUAAGUCACAGCCUAUCUUCUUGUGGUCAACAUUUUCUUUUCCGUGGAACUCAGAAAGGGGGCAGGUGUUCUGUGGUAUGGUCCUCAUGGUAUAGCACAUAGUUGAGACAAGCUUAGGAGGAGGACCUCAUGAGAAAGUGAGGACUCGUGGGACUCAUGGGCUCCUGCCAGUGGUGGAUUUGGGAGAGCAGGAUUGAGUUAAUUUGAUCCAGAUCUCCAAGGGCCAGGGACUCAGUACACAACUUUUGAGUAAUAAAGAUGAUGGAAAGUAAGAUAUUAUUUGGUAAAAUCUGCAUGACGUCCCAAACAGUAGGAUCCAGAAUACA